rnacentral:rRNA from 1 species
UCCAGAGGGUGCAAGCGUUGUUCGGAUUUAUUGGGCGUAAAGCGCGUGUAGGCGGCUUUGCAAGUCGGGCGUGAAAGCCCUCAGCUCAACUGAGGAAGUGCGCCCGAAACUGCAGAGCUUGAGUACCGGAGAGGAUGGCGGAAUUCCCGAAGUAGAGGUGAAAUGCGUAGAUAUCGGAAGGAACACCAGUGGCGAAAGCGGCUUCCUGGUCCAGCACCGACGUUCAGGCACGAAAGCGUGGGGAGCAAACAGG